rnacentral:rRNA from 1 species
CCUGGCUCAGGAUGAACGCUGGCGGUAUGCUUAACACAUGCAAGUCGAACGGGCUCUUCGGAGCUAGUGGCGGACGGGUGAGUAACGCGUGAGAAUCUGCCUUCAGGACGGGGACAACAGUUAGAAAUGACUGCUAAUACCCGAUGUGCUUAGCGGUGAAAUGAUUUAUCGCCUGGAGAGGAGCUCCCCGUCUGAUUAACUAAUUGGUGGGGUAAAAGCCUACCAAGGCGUCCAUCAUUAACUGGUCUGAGAGGAUGAGCCCCCCCCCUGGAACUGAGACACGGUCCAGACUUCCUACCGGAGGCGGCAGUGGGGAAUUUUCCCCAAUGGGCGCAAGCCUGACGGAGCAAUACCGCGUGAGGGGAGGAAGGCUCUUGGGUUGUAAACCUCUUUUCUCAGGGAAGAAUAACUGACGGUACCUGAGGAAUAAGCAUCGGCUAACUCCGUACCAGCAGCCGCGGUAAUACGGAGGAUGCAAGCGUUAUCCGGAAUCAUUGGGCGUAAAGCGUCCGCAGGUGGCCCUAUAAGUCUGCUGUCAAAGACCGGAGCUUAACUCUGGAAAGGCGGUGGAAACUGUAGAGCUAGAGUACGGUAGGGGUAGAGGGAAUUCCCAGUGUAGCGGUGAAAUGCGUAGAGAUUGGGAAGAACACCGGUGGCGAAAGCGCUCUACUGGGCCGUAACUGACACUCAGGGACGAAAGCUAGGGUAGCGAAAGGGAUUAGAUACCCCUGUAGUCUUAGCUGUAAACGAUGGAUACUAGGCGUAGCUUGUAUCGACCCGAGCUGUGCCGAAGCAAACGCGUUAAGUAUCCCGCCUGGGGAGUACGCACGCAAGUGUGAAACUCAAAGGAAUUGACGGGGGCCCGCACAAGCGGUGGAGUAUGUGGUUUAAUUCGAUGCAACGCGAAGAACCUUACCAGGACUUGACAUGUCGCGAAUUUUGGGGAAACUCGAAAGUGCCUUCGGGAGCGCGAACACAGGUGGUGCAUGGCUGUCGUCAGCUCGUGUCGUGAGAUGUUGGGUUAAGUCCCGCAACGAGCGCAACCCUCGUCCUUAGUUGCCAGCAUUAAGUUGGGCACUCUGGGGGAGACUGCCGGUGACAAACCGGAGGAAGGUGGGGAUGACGUCAAGUCAGCAUGCCCCUUACGUCCUGGGCUACACACGUACUACAAUGGUUGAGACAAAGGGCAGCGAGCGAGCGAUCGUAAGCGAAUCUCAUCAAACUCAGCCUCAGUUCAGAUUGCAGGCUGCAACUCGCCUGCAUGAAGGAGGAAUCGCUAGUAAUCGCAGGUCAGAAUACUGCGGUGGAAUCCGUUCCCGGCCCUUGUACACACCGCCCGUCACACCAUGGAAGCUGGCCACGCCCGAAGUCGUUACCCUAACCCGUAUGGGAGGGGGAUGCCGAAGGCAGGGCUAGUGACUGGGGUGAAGUCGUAACA